rnacentral:rRNA from 1 species
AUUGAACGCUGGCGGCAUGCCUUACACAUGCAAGUCGAACGGCAGCACGGGAGCAAUCCUGGUGGCGAGUGGCGAACGGGUGAGUAAUAUAUCGGAACGUGCCCAGUCGUGGGGAUAACGUAGCGAAAGCUACGCUAAUACCGCAUACGAUCUAUGGAUGAAAGCGGGGGAUCGCAAGACCUCGCGCGAUUGGAGCGGCCGAUAUCAGAUUAGGUAGUUGGUGAGGUAAAGGCUCACCAAGCCGACGAUCUGUAGCUGGUCUGAGAGGACGACCAGCCACACUGGGACUGAGACACGGCCCAGACUCCUACGGGAGGCAGCAGUGGGGAAUUUUGGACAAUGGGCGCGAAGCCUGAUACCACGCAAUAGCCGCGUGCAGGA